GAAAGGAGGUGCGGUAGCUACGGCGAGUGAACAGGCAAGAGCUCAGAUUUGAAAGGCACUUUUGUGCCGUUGUAUUCUGAAGUUAGGGUCCUGAGAAACGAUGCUUAAGUCUUCUGGAAAGGAGCGCCAUGGAGGGUGAUAGCCCCGUCUAGCAUUGACCUCAUAUAGGAUCUUAACAUGGAGUCGAGUUGUUUGGGAAUGCAGCUCAAAUGGGUGGUAUGCUCCAUCUAAAGCUAAAUAUCUGCGAGAGACCGAUAGUAAACAAGUACUGUGAGGGAAAGAUGAAAAGAACUUUGAAAAGAGAGUGAAAAAGUACGUGAAAUUGUUGAAAUGGAAGGGUAGGCCGCUAACCAUGUAGAGCCGUGUUUGGGGGGAAGAUAAAUGCUGUAGAAUGUAGCUCCUCGGAGUAUUAUAGAUGCAGUUCAUAUUCCCACCCGAGCGCGAGGAUCUCAGGUUCUACUAAAUGGUGGUCUACCACCCGUCUUGAACCACGGACCCA
rnacentral:rRNA from 1 species